UACGUAGGGGGCGAGCGUUGUCCGGAUUUAUUGGGCGUAAAAGGCUUGUAGGUGGCCACGCCAAGUCGGAUGUGAAAUCUCCCGGCUCAACUGGGAGGGGUCAUUCGAUACUGGCGGGCUCGAGGCCGGUAGGGGGAAGUGGAAUUCCCGGUGUAGUGGUGGAAUGCGUAGAUAUCGGGAGGAACACCAGUGGCGAAGGCGGCUUCCUGGACCGGUUCUGACACUGAGGAGCGAAAGCGUGGGGAGCGAGCCGG
rnacentral:rRNA from 1 species